GACGAACCGUGCGAACGUUAUUCGGAAUCACUGGGCUUAAAGGGUGCGUAGGCGGCGCGGAAAGUGGGGUGUGAAAGCCCUCGGCUCAACCGAGGAAUUGCGCUCCAAACUACCGUGCUUGAGUGAGACAGAGGUAAGCGGAACUUCGGGUGGAACGGUGAAAUGUGUUGAUAUCCGAAGGAACACCGGUGGCGAAAGCGGCUUACUGGGUCUCAACUGACGCUGAUGCACGAAAGCCAGGGUAGCAAACGGG
rnacentral:rRNA from 1 species